rnacentral:misc_RNA from 1 species
GAGAAACACCAUAUCCACGUAUAUUGAAUCAAAUAACACUGUAUUGAUCAAACCAAAUGACAGUCUUCAAUUGUAACGCAGGUAAUAGAAACAAACUUUAACAAAAUUCUAUAAUGUCAAACCGAUAUAUAUAUAUAUAUAUAACAUGCUAAGGUAGGUCACCUUCAAGCCCCACGGGCCAUGGCUUGCCCCCCGGGCGGGAUCAUAACCAGGACCGGUCGAGCAUUGAACCCAGGAUGAGGCAGCCUACGACGGAUCUCACGACCUUCCUGGCAAAGUGCACACGGGUGACAGAACACAUGA